rnacentral:rRNA from 1 species
CUGGUUGAUCCUGCCAGUAGUCAUAUGCUUGUCUCAAAGAUUAAGCCAUGCAUGUCUAAGUAUAAAGCGACUAUACUGUGAAACUGCGAAUGGCUCAUUAAAUCAGUUAUGGUUUAUUUGAUGGUACCUACUACUUGGAUAACCGUAGUAAUUCUAGAGCUAAUACAUGCAGGAAGACCUCGACUUCGGAAGGGUUGUAUUUAUUAGAUAAGAAACCAAUCCAGCUUGCUGGUUGCGUGCCGAGUCACAAUAACUUUUCGAAUCGCAUGGCUUCACGCCGGCGAUGGUUCAUUCAAACUUCUGCCCUAUCAGCUUUCGAUGGUAGGAUCGAGGCCUACCAUGGCGUUUACGGGUAAACGGAGAAUUAGGGUUCGAUUCCGGAGAGGGAGCCUGAGAGAUGGCUACCACAUCCAAGGAAGGCAGCAGGCGCGUAAAUUGCCCGAAUCCUGACACAGGGAGGUAGUGACAAAGAAAUAACAAUACAGGGCUACAUCUAGUCUUGUAAUUGGAAUGA